rnacentral:tRNA from 5 species
CGGAACGUAGCGCAGCCUGGUAGCGCACCGUCAUGGGGUGUCGGGGGUCGGAGGUUCAAAUCCUCUCGUUCCGACCA